GUGCCCACUUCGGCAGCACAUAUAUUAAAAUUGGAAUGAUACAGAGAAGAUUAGCAUGGUCCCUGUGCAAGGAUGACCCACAAAUUCAUGAAGCUAAAAAAAAGUGA